rnacentral:rRNA from 1 species
UUGUGGAAAGUUUUUUCGGUGCAAGAUGAGCUCGCGGCCUAUCAGCUUGUUGGUGGGGUAAUGGCCUACCAAGGCGUCGACGGGUACCGGCCUGAGAGGGUGUACGGCCACAUUGGGACUGAGAUACGGCCCAGACUCCUACGGGAGGCAGCAGUGGGGAAUAUUGCACAAUGGGCGGAAGCCUGAUGCAGCGACGCCGCGUGGGGGAUGAAGGCCUUCGGGUUGUAAACUCCUUUCGACAGGGACGAAGCGUAAGUGACGGUACCUGUAUAAGAAGCACCGGCUAACUACGUGCCAGCAGCCGCGGUAAUACGUAGGGUGCGAGCGUUGUCCGGAAUUACUGGGCGUAAAGAGCUCGUAGGUGGUUUGUCGCGUCGUCUGUGAAAUUCCGGGGCUUAACUCCGGGCGUGCAGGCGAUACGGGCUGACUUGAGUGCUGUAGGGGAGACUGGAAUUCCCGGUGUAGCGGUGAAAUGCGCAGAUAUCAGGAGGAACACCGAUGGCGAAGGCAGGUCUCUGGGCAGUAACUGACGCUGAGGAGCGAAAGCAUGGGUAGCGAACAGGAUUAGAUACCCUGGUAGUCCAUGCCGUAAACGUGGGCGCUAGGUGUAGGGGGCUUCCACGUCUUCUGUGCCGUAGCUAACGCAUUAAGCGCCCCGCCUGGGGAGUACGCCGCAAGGCUA